UCUACUAAUCAACGCGACGUCAGUGGAGCCGGGAUUUGCCGUGGUCCAAGCUCAAGCUGCAGCACUGCCUCAGCCUGAUCGCUCAGCCUUAUGAGGAGAUAUGUAAUCUAAAUCACUGUACAGCUCCUUGUCAUCGCUGUUUUGGGAAUAGAAUGGCGUGAGAAGAGCAAGCACGAGUUGCGCAGUGAGAACCAGAGACCGAUAGCGCACAAGUA
rnacentral:rRNA from 1 species